AAAUAAUCAUCAUGUUAUUUUCGUAUUCUCUUUCAUACAAUAAAUAAAUGUAGAGAGUAUUUAUCUUUUCCUAUUUUGUUUUAUUACCUUACUUUCAAGGGUAAUUUAGUGGAUUACCCACAAAUGAGGCCCAAAUUGGAGAUUUACACUCUGAGUGACAGCCGAGGCCCAAAACACAAAUUUUUUUUUGACAUUGGACGAGUGCACCCUACUUCGUCUGACACACAACGUUCGGUUCGUUGCAGAGUUGUAGAGAAGUCUGAGUGCUAUUAUUUCCUUCCUCUAACACUUUCUUCCCUGGAUUAUUUUUCUUCUUUUGAUAUUUUCUUUCCUCCAACCUCACUAUUUUUCUUUUACUUCUUCUUUUUUGUUUUGCAUGUUGCUUCUUUUUCAUUUUACACAAAAGCAAACAUGUAGCUUCUUUUUCAUUUUUUCUUUCUCCAUUAUUUUUCACAUGCAUUUUUCUACUGUAAAAAACACUUAAUUUCUUUCUUCUUUUUAAUGAUACAAUUUUGAUUUUCAAAUUUAUUCAGUUUGAUUGACAAAUUGAAACUUCCAUAUAAACUCAUCCUGAAAGUCUAACCCUCUUUUAACUCUAAUUUUAGAGAAAUGGUGGCCAAAACGAUUC
rnacentral:lncRNA from 1 species